rnacentral:lncRNA from 1 species
GGUGAGCAGGCUGAGGGGACCCCCAGUACAGCAGGUCAGAAUACCCGUGGGGUUUAAGUAGGCAGGAUAAAAAAAAAAUGUCCUGCUUUAGUCCUCAGCCUACAGAUGGUCACUGAAGCCCCGAAUGAGAUCGUCAGGAGAGAGAACCAAGCUCAAGGUUAAGGCUGAAGGGACUGCCCCUCGUGAAGGCAGGUCAAGGAGGAUGAGGAGCCAGCCAGGUGGGCAGAAGGGGAGGAGGAAACCUGGUGCAGACCCCACUCGCACAACACCCAGCCUGCCCACCAGCCCCGUCCAGCAAAGGUGUCACUGGAGGAGAUCGACUGCGUUCAUAGAGUCUGUCUUUCCCAUGACUCAGUUAUGGACCAGUGGAAAGGGCGGAGUUUACGAAGUCGGACAGAACGAAGUUAAUACAACACAAACGGAGGUCUUAACCGUGGAGAUAAUGAAAAGAUAUCAGCUCGUAGGCAGGGAAGGGGGACUGAACGACCCCCCCCUGGGAUGA